GGCAGGCGACGGAAAAGGAUGUCGAUGCGCCGCCGGUGGUCGGUUUCGGGGGUUGACUCGCGCCGCGGGGGCGAUGAGAGCACUUCCCUCCGCCCUGAGACUGACCUGCUGCCGUUCCUGGCUACUCCUGCUUAUCUACCUGGUCUUCCUGGUAUCCGGCUGCAGCUGCGACACGCGACCGGAUCGACUGACCCAUCAACUACUGCCAGGUGAUGACGUGCACGGUUCCAGUUACAUCAACGACGAAGACGAUCUCUAUGACGACGAGGAGGACUACCUCGAGGAGAACGUCACUGCGGCAAAGGGACAGUACCUGGGCUCGCCGUGCGAUGUCUCGUGCAAUCCGGAACUGCAGCAUGUGUUCUGCGACACGGUCACUGGCCACUGCGAGUGCGAGAAAUUCUAUCCAGUUCGUCUUGGGCCUAGCAAAGGAUGUGCCAAACCUAAAAAACUCGGAGAGCAAUGCUUCUAUCGCGCGACUUGCACUUUUGCGGAUCAGCACUCGACCUGCACCCAGGUGCAGCACAAUGCAGUGUGCGACUGCGAAGAGGGUUAUCACAGAGUCGCCUUGUCCAGGCCUAACAAGAAGGUGUUCUGCGCCGAAGAUCUGGUGCUGAUAACUACGGAUAUCCCAACCUUACUCUGCAUAGCGUCCGGAAUAGCAAUAUUCACGGCAAUGAUAUGUUUCGUGCUCAAAUUAUUCAGUCGUGCAAGAUACUCAAGGCCACGGCAUUAUGCCAACGCCAAUCACGCGCCGCCCAUGCUGUUCUCCAGCGACACAGGUAUCCCACUGACGCUCCACGGAGGCCGACCAUCCUCGCGUUCCAGUCAAAGAAGCAGCACCGGAGGACCGUUGACGUACGCGUUCACCAGGAGGCCAAGCAGCGGUGGUAGCCGUGGUCCUCUGGUACCAGCGUCGAGAGCAGGUGCGGCACGUGCCGCCGCCAUCUUGCUUAUAUCGUGUCACCUGCAGGCGACCAAAGGCGGGAACAAGCAUCGACGUACCCUUAGCGACGUUGCUGAGGGAUCGUCCGACGGCCUCGGUUCUCGUCGUCCUAGCUUAACUUCGGUUCACAGUUCGACAUCCUCGGCUCGUAGUUACAGCGCGAGAAGACUCGAAAAGGAGAGAAACGAGAAGGAACAACGGCAAGCUCUUCAGGAACUCAGGCUGGCUAAACAACGGGAGCAACAACAGCAACAGCAACAACAAGUCGCGCCUACGCCUAGCCCUAGGACACCUCAUUCCACCGAUGAAUUGUUGCCCUCUGUAGAGGAAGGGAAGGAAGUGUUUUAUAACGAGGUAUCAUGAGGAGACUUAUAACGUAGAACUUCCAUUUCAUUGAGUGGAUAUAAACAAGAAUUUUUUGCAUUUUAUUUUACAAUCUGAGGAGAGAUUUAGUGUAGGAUCUUCCGUUUGAAAACCACCGUAACCACUGAGCUAUUCAAGCAGUCGGUAGAUGUACCUUCUUCAAAGGAUACCACCUACGCCCCAGCUAUUCGCAUAAGCAAAGUAACGUUAGAAAAUAACUUCUCAGUAAAAGGUGCCCACAACGUCGGACACGACCGAGGAAACGACGGCAAAGACGACAGCGAUCACGGCGACGAAUGUGAACAGAUUCGGUGAAAAAUCCCCGGUUACAACCUCGACAACGUCCAUCUUCGAAACGAA